CUAAGGUAGCGAAAUUCCUUGUCGGGUAAGUUCCGACCUGCACGAAUGGCGUAACGACUUCCCCACUGUCUCCAACAUCAACUCAGCGAAAUUGAAUUCUCCGUGAAGAUGCGGAGUACCCGCGGUCAGACGGAAAGACCCCGUGCACCUUUACUACAGCUUCACACUGGUAUUCGUCACGACAUGUGUAGGAUAGGUGGUAGACGUUGAAGCAGGAGCGCCAGCUCUUGUGGAGUCACCCUUGAAAUACCACCCUUGUCGUCAUGGAUAUCUAACCGCGGUACAACAAUAUCCGGGACCGUGUGUGGCGGGUAGUUUGACUGGGGCGGGCGCC
rnacentral:rRNA from 1 species